rnacentral:rRNA from 1 species
ACCCUUUAGUGUGCAGCUAACGCAUAAGCACUCCGCCUGGGGAGUACGGCCGCAAGGCUGAAACUCAAAGGAAUUGACGGGGGCCCGCACAAGCGGUGGAGCAUGUGGUUUAAUUCGAAGCAACGCGAAGAACCUUACCAGGUCUUGACAUCCCCUGACAACCCAAGAGAUUGGGCGUUCCCCCUUCGGGGGGACAGGGUGACAGGUGGUGCAUGGUUGUCGUCAGCUCGUGUCGUGAGAUGUUGGGUUAAGUCCCGCAACGAGCGCAACCCUCGCCUCUAGUUGCCAGCAUUCGGUUGGGCACUCUAGAGGGACUGCCGGCGACAAGUCGGAGGAAGGUGGGGAUGACGUCAAAUCAUCAUGCCCCUUAUGACCUGGGCUACACACGUGCUACAAUGGGCGGUACAAAGGGCUGCGAACCCGCGAGGGGGAGCGAAUCCCAAAAAGCCGCUCUCAGUUCGGAUUGCAGGCUGCAACUCGCCUGCAUGAAGCCGGAAUCGCUAGUAAUCGCGGAUCAGCAUGCCGCGGUGAAUACGKUCCCGGGCCUUGUACACACCGCCCGUCACACC